UCCAAUCGUCUGGCAAUUAGGCGGUAAUUUUUUUCGGUGUAAGCCUGAAUCUUUGUUUCUCGAACCAGGCCCCUGCGAAUAGAAGCAACAUGGAAGUGUUCUUUAAAAACCAAUUGAGACAUCAUAUUUACAAUUGUGUUCGACGUUUGUUCGCGCAAGUAAAUAGGGGGUGGUUUAUAGUCCUUUCAAGGACUCUCAUUGUCCUCGUCUUCUGCAAAAUCAAGGAUGGAAACUCUGUUGCCAUCCUUAGAUGGUUCACCUUGUGUAAUUUUUAACUGCUUAGCAAUACGUUGUUGUUGAGUGCCCUUGGGGCUAGCUUUACGUACCUGUUUGCGCUUGAUGUUGAGCUACUGCUGAUGUUGUUGGUGCGUUGGAUUUUUGUUGCUAUUUUUUCUUUUACGUCACUAUUCGAUUCUAAUUUUUUUACACUCAUACAUGCGGAUAAUGAGUUACUACGUACAUCAAAUAAGCACGGCCAUCAAGUUUUUUUAUUUUUAUUUAUGUUUAUUUUUUCGCUUUCCACUUCUGUAAAAGUGUAGUACCCAUUUUUGCCAGUUACUCUAGCAUUUUAUUUGUUUAUAAGUGAGUUAGUUUUUUCUAGUUCUCUUAUAUUAUUUACUCUAAAAGAGCUGAGACUGUUUCUCGGCCUCGCCUCAUGAAGAGGUUCAGCCAUUUUUAUUUCCUAGUAUUAUCUCUACUGGGUAUUAGCAACCUGUCGUUUGGGCGAUUAUGCAGUUUGAUGUGGAAGUUUUUAUUUUGAUUUUAUAUCACCAAUGUGACAGCGUUGGCUCACCGUGUGACACAAACAGCUGAUGUGCACUUAAGGAGGUGGAGAAAAUGUUUUUUUCGCGAAAACUAAUUAAUUGAUUGAUUAUUUAAUUUUUUUUGUUUAAAGAACUUAUUCAGAUUCGGUGAUUUGUUUUGUGCAAUUUUUAACAAUUACUGCUACUAAUCCCAGGAAAGCAAUGUGUAACGUGGUGACAACAAUAUUGAUGCCCCCGGCGAUCCGCCUACGAAUUACCACAGCCUGGACUAUUUGAGUCUAGUUGAAUGUUGAUCGCACUCAAUCGCUUUUUCACUUUCACACACAGCCAGUAAUGCUACGAGUUUGUAGAGCAACGAAAAAAUUCGAUGUCUCUCAACAUCUGUGCCAGUCGAUACCUUUGUGUUCCAGCUACUUCUAUAGAGUCGGAGGUUUGAUUGCUAAUAUCAGACAAGAGAACAGAAAUUAAGUCUAAAAACGUCAAUAAACUACUAUUUUUACGUAACGUACUCAA